AUUGAACGCUGGCGGCAGGCCUAACACAUGCAAGUCGCGCGAGCGGCGGACGGGUGAGUAAUGUAUGGGGACUGCCCGAUAGAGGGGGAUAACUACUGGAAACGGUGGCUAAUACCGCAUACUAUCGGAUAACCCAUAUGGGAUUAGCUAGUAGGUGGGGUAAAGGCUCACCUAGGCGACGAUUUCUAGCUGGUGUGAGAGGAUGAUCAGCGAAACUGGUACGUAGACCCGGCCCAGAUUCAUACGGAGGCAGUAGUGGGGAAUAGUGCACAAUGGGCGCAAGCCUACUGCAGCCAUGCCGCGUGUAGGAAGAGGGCCUUAGGGUUGUAAAGUACUUUCAGCGGGGAGGAGUUACCCGCAGAAGAAGCACCGGCUAACUCCGUGCCAGCAGCCGCGGUAAUUC
rnacentral:rRNA from 1 species